rnacentral:rRNA from 1 species
AGAAUCAACGCUGGCGGCGUGCCUAACACAUGCAAGUCGAACGAGAAAGUGGAGCAAUCCAUUAGUAAAGUGGCGCACGGGUGAGUAACACGUGACUAACCUACCCUUGAGUGGGGGAUAACUUCGGGAAACCGAGGCUAAUACCGCAUAAUACCUACGGGUCAAAGGAGCAAUUCGCUUUAGGAGGGGGUCGCGGUCGAUUAGUUAGUUGGCGGGGUAAUGGCCCACCAAGACUGUGAUCGAUAUCCGGCCUGAGAGGGCGCACGGACACACUGGAACUGAAACACGGUCCAGACUCCUACGGGAGGCAGCAGUGGGGAAUCUUGCGCAAUGGGGGAAACCCUGACGCAGCAACGCCGCGUGGAGGAUGAAGUCCCUUGGGACGUAAACUCCUUUCGAUCGGGACGAUAAUGACUGUACCGGAAGAAGAAGCCCCGGCUAACUUCGCGCCAGCAGCCGC